ACCAGUAUGGACCAGUAUAGACCAGUAUGGACCAGUAUGGACCAGUAUAGAACAGUAUGGGCCACAACGGAACCAUAGAGGUCAAUAGAGACCCAUAGGAACCAAUAGAAGAUCCCAGGAGAGCCCAUUGUCCAACCCAUUCCAACACCAGUAUGGACCAGUAUGGACCAGUAUAGACCUGUAUAGACCAGUAUGGACCAGUAGAAACCAGUAUGGACCAAUAGGGACCAGUAUGGGCCACAACGGACCCAUAGAGGUCAAUAGAGAGCCAUAGGAACCAAUAGAAGAUCCCAGGAGAACCCAUUGUCCAACCCCUUCCCACACCAGUAUGGACCAGUAUGGACCAGUAUAGACCAGUAUGGACCAGUAUGGACCAGUAUAGACCAGUAUAGACCAGUAAGGACCAGUAGAAACCAGUAUAGACCA
ensembl:lncRNA